GCUUUGCUGUCACUUAUAGAUGGAUCCGCGCCGUAUUAGCUAGUUGGUAAGGUAACGGCUUACCAAGGCAACGAUACGUAGCCGACCUGAGAGGGUGAUCGGCCACACUGGAACUGAGACACGGUCCAGACUCCUACGGGAGGCAGCAGUAGGGAAUCUUCCGCAAUGGGCGAAAGCCUGACGGAGCAACGCCGCGUGAGUGAUGAAGGUCUUCGGAUCGUAAAACUCUGUUAUCAGGGAAGAACAAAUGUGUAAGUAACUGUGCACAUCUUGACGGUACCUGAUCAGAAAGCCACGGCUAACUACGUGCCAGCAGCCGCGGUAAUACGUAGGUGGCAAGCGUUAUCCGGAAUUAUUGGGCGUAAAGCGCGCGUAGGCGGUUUUUUAANUCUGAUGUGAAAGCCCACGGCUCAACCGUGGAGGGUCAUUGGAAACUGGAAAACUUG
rnacentral:rRNA from 1 species